CCAGCCUGAUGUCGACUUUGUACUUUGGACCUGGAUUCCGACUCUGCCUGCCCCCUGUCUGUUUUCCUCCCGUGCCCCAGCAGUCUCCCUCUGGCGGCCUUUCUCCAGUCACUGGAUUCUACACUCUGCCCCACGUUGGAUUACCCACUGCUGACAUCUGAACGGAGAAAGACCGGAUUGCACAAUCUCAUUAUUCACUCUGAAC